rnacentral:rRNA from 1 species
CCGGAGCUUGCUCCACCGGAAAAAGARGAGUGGCGAACGGGUGAGUAACACGUGGGUAACCUGCCCAUCAGAAGGGGAUAACACUUGGAAACAGGUGCUAAUACCGUAUAACAAUCAAAACCGCAUGGUUUUGAUUUGAAAGGCGCUUUCGGGUGUCGCUGAUGGAUGGACCCGCGGUGCAUUAGCUAGUUGGUGAGGUAACGGCUCACCAAGGCCACGAUGCAUAGCCGACCUGAGAGGGUGAUCGGCCACAUUGGGACUGAGACACGGCCCAAACUCCUACGGGAGGCAGCAGUAGGGAAUCUUCGGCAAUGGACGAAAGUCUGACCGAGCAACGCCGCGUGAGUGAAGAAGGUUUUCGGAUCGUAAAACUCUGUUGUUAGAGAAGAACAAGGAUGAGAGUAACUGUUCAUCCCUUGACGGUAUCUAACCAGAAAGCCACGGCUAACUACGUGCCAGCAGCCGCGGUAAUACGUAGGUGGCAAGCGUUGUCCGGAUUUAUUGGGCGUAAAGCGAGCGCAGGCGGUUUCUUAAGUCUGAUGUGAAAGCCCCCGGCUCAACCGGGGAGGGUCAUUGGAAACUGGGAGACUUGAGUGCAGAAGAGGAGAGUGGAAUUCCAUGUGUAGCGGUGAAAUGCGUAGAUAUAUGGAGGAACACCAGUGGCGAA